UUUUACCUCCAUUGUUGGAUGCUCUCAACUCACCAUUUACCCUUAGCUAUAUUAUUCAUUUGUUAUUUCUCAAUAAUUCCUUAACGAAAAACGUUGGAAAUCACCCGCUAAUUACUAAUCUACAAUUGCAUGUAGGAUCAAGAUUCGACAAGUUGUCGAGCUAUCGAGUCGGAGGACCAAGGAAAUUAACGGAGUUGUUUCAAGGAGCAUUGACGGAGUAAUACCGUAGUUAAACGGUUUCUGAAAGCUGGUCCGUUUUUGAUGAAGGCUUCCGAACGUUUAUUUCUCGGAAGUCUACUUUGAUAAAAGACUGUAAAGAAGGUUUUAAGUUCUAGUUGUCCGCAGUAGACUAGUAUAGUCUUAUUGUAUUUAAAUGUUUUAAAGCACAUUUAAAACUCUGAUGUUUUAUCUCAUCAGUUAUUUAAUAAAUGUGUCAUACGUCUCUUUUAAAAGCGAAAAA